rnacentral:rRNA from 1 species
UGUCGUCAGCUCGUGUCGUGAGAUGUUGGGUUAAGUCCCGCAACGAGCGCAACCCUCAUCCUUANUUACCAUCAGGUAAUGCUGGGGACUUUAAGGAAACUGCCAGUGAUAAACUGGAGGAAGGUGGGGAUGAUGUCAAGUCAUCAUGGCCCUUAUGGAGUGGGCUACACACGUGCUACAAUGGUGGCUACAAUGGGCUGCAAAGUCGCGAGGCUAAGCUAAUCCCUUAAAAGCCAUCUCAGUUCGGAUUGUACUCUGCAACUCGAGUGCAUGAAGUUGGAAUCGCUAGUAAUCGUGGAUCAGCACGCCACGGUGAAUACGUUCUCGGGUCUUGUACACACUGCCCGUCACGCCAUGGGAAUUG